GAGGCCAUAGCUCAGUUGGUUAGAGCACCUGCCUUUUAAGCAGGGUGUCCUGGGUUCGAGACCCAGUGGCCUCACCA
rnacentral:tRNA from 1 species